GACGAACGCUGGCGGCGUGCCUAACACAUGCAAGUCGAGCGGGGUUGAAGCGAGAGGUAACUCGAACUUCUACCUAGCGGCGGACGGGUGAGUAACGCGUGGGCAACCUGCCUCAAGGUCUGGGAUAACAGCCCGAAAGGGCUGCUAAUACUGGGUAUGCUUGUGGCCUCGCAUGGGGCUAUGAGCAAAGGGGAAACCCGCCUUGAGAUGGGCCCGCGUCCCAUCAGCUAGUUGGUGAGGUAACAGCUCACCAAGGCGACGACGGGUAGCCGGCCUGAGAGGGUGACCGGCCACACUGGGACUGAGACACGGCCCAGACUCCUACGGGGGCAGCAGUGGGGGAUCUUGCACAAUGGGCGAAAGCCUGAUGCAGCGACGCCGCGUGAGCGAAGAAGGCCUUCGGUCGUAAGCUCUGUCUGGAGGGACGGAAGGAAGUGACGGUACCGUCCGGAGGAAGCCACGGCUAACUACGUGCCAGCAGCCGCGGUAAAGUACACGUGUUACG
rnacentral:rRNA from 1 species